ACCCAGACUCCUACGGGAGGCAGCAGUGGGGAAUAUUGCACAAUGGGGGAAACCCUGAUGCAGCGACGCCGCGUGAGCGAUGAAGUCUUUCGGUAUGUAAAGCUCUAUCAGCAGGGAAGAAAAUGACGGUACCUGACUAAGAAGCCCCGGCUAACUACGUGCCAGCAGCCGCGGUAAUACGUAGGUGGCAAGCGUUGUCCGGAUUUACUGGGUGUAAAGGGCGUGUAGCCGGGUUGACAAGUCAGAUGUGAAAUCCUGCGGCUUAACCGCAGAACUGCAUUUGAAACUGUUGAUCUUGAGUACUGGAGAGGCAGACGGAAUUCCUAGUGUAGCGGUGAAAUGCGUAGAUAUUAGGAGGAACACCAGUGGCGAAGGCGGUCUGCUGGACAGCAACUGACGGUGAGGCGCGAAAGCGUGGGGAGCAAACGGGAUUAGAUACCCCGGUAAG
rnacentral:rRNA from 1 species